AAUCUCCAUCUCCAGAACCAGACCUCUCUCCCAAUCAACUACCUGGCGCCCCUCCCUGGCUCCCUCCCGUGAGUCCGCGACCACCCAACGACGGCCCACCUCUCCCGCAGCAACCACAGCACCGGCCACCCACCCAUCUCCUCCUCCUCUCACUCGCGCCGUAGCACCAUGCGCCGCACCUGCCGCGGCAAAGGAGGGCCAGCCGCCGCCACCCCAGAACGUUGUGUAUGAGCAGGCACGGCACCGCCGCCGCCUCCCUAGGUCGCGACCUGUAGCGGUUCGGCUACUCCGGCACAGCCAUCGCGCGAGCCAAGCGAGGAGGACGCUUUGAAUCUGGGACCUGCAGUAUUGAAUAGAGGAAAGUUACAUCUACAGUUGGUCCGCGAGCAUGGCGAGCCGACAACGACGAUGAAAUAAUGCAUUGGCCCAUUGCCUGAUGAAGAAGAUGAGAGAAGUGAAGAUUAUGUACGCUGAAAUAUUACAGAUCAUCGAUGCACAGGGUAACCAUCCUGCCACCACCAGGGAGCUCUUGGUUGCACUGCAAUCAGCGAGGCCUUGUCAACUCGCUGAUGCCACUUAACCUCUAUGGCCUCUCAUUGCUCAAGAUGGAUAGUUUUGUGCAGGUUUGGCCUCAACCACUUCUUCCUGUCCUACUGCUACAUGGACCAUGACACUCAGUUCUAGCAAAACUAUUGUAAAGUUGCAGGCCAGACCUGUGAAAUCCGAGGCUUGUCACAGGAUGGUGUUCAUGGUCUAUAAGCUUUUGAGAUGUUGUCUUGGCUCCUCCUUUACAAACAACAUUUAUGAUGAUAUGCCUCUAAGGGUUGUAGUUAAGAGUUGAUGUUCCAUGCUAUUCUUUGUUCCUUGUGCUGGUAAUUGAGAGGAGGGAGAGGGAGAGAGAGAUGGAGGGACAUCAAAGAGGAGUGUGGUAACCACAUAGGAAGACACGGUUGUGUUGCAGCCAGUAGAGACGUGGUUUGUGUGCAAGUCGAUGCAAACCUGCUGUUGUGAUGGUUGGGGAGCCGAGGUAGCAGCAAGCAGUGCCUUUACGCUGGAUCAUGCAGUCUGGUUGUGGGUGGCCAGAGCCCAUGGACCUGUCUUCCCCACCGGGUGUUUACUUUCCUUCAGUGAAUUGAAAGCAAGAAAAGAAAAACAUGAGGAAUGUUUGUUUGUCCAUGUUGCGCGAUCCUAAUCAUGUUACUUUGUGAAAAAAACAAAACACCAUGUCACUGUAAUGCUUUAAAUAUUUUAUCUUUUAGUUGUUUAUUUUAGAACAAACCUUACUUCAGCAGGGUGUUUGAAGGUGAGACAUCCUUGAUGAUCGCCGUUUUCUUUAGAUCAUUAUCAUCCUAUUUUAAGUGAAUACAUCAGAGUUGUGUUUAACUAUGCUACAUUUUUUCUUUAUGUGACCUAUAUUUUGUUCUGCUUGAAUUUCUAUCAAGGGACGGAGUUUGGUUUCAUGCAUCUUGCAACAAAGCUUCCCAGUUGGGCGUCCCGCUUCACAUUUUGCAAAGGUGCUUCCAUGGUUUCUCCAGUCCCUCAAGCGCAGCAUAACCUGCUUGCAUGAGUUUUUCCCUGCUGCUCGCGCUGCCCCUAUGUACAACAACACUGUUCUGAUGAUCUCUCCUGCUGACACUGAUCUCCCAUCUCCUCAUCUUAUGCGCCAUCUCUGUGUUGGUUGAUCAGUGGCACUAGACGUUGAUGCUCACGCCGUUGUCAGAAAUGCACUGAGCUACUCAACCUAGUCUAUUAAUGAGUGGAAAAGCCAAGUUAGUGCAUGUUCAAGUUCUCCACUUGCAUUAAUAAGUGGGUGGCAGUUCAAGGUUUCAAUUUCUAUCACACUUUGUGACACUUCCUUCGGAUUUCCUUUGAUGAAUUACCUUUUCACUCUGAGGUGUGACUGGUCACUCACUGUCAGGACCGACAAAGUGCAUACUGAAGAUGACGAGGGGAUGGGCUAGACCAAUGUGUUUUAGACGUCAGAAUCAGAAUCGUGUGGGAGUUGUACAUGUGCUUGCGCGUGUGUGUGAGACCAAUGUGUUUUGGACGUCAGAAUCAUAAUCGUGUGGGAGUUGUA